UACAGAGGGGGCAAGCGUUGUUCGGAAUUACUGGGCGUAAAGGGCGCGUAGGCGGCCUGCUAAGUCGGACGUGAAAUCCCUCGGCUCAACCGGGGAACUGCGUCCGAUACUGGUGGGCUCGAAUCCGGGAGAGGGAUGUGGAAUUCCAGGUGUAGCGGUGAAAUGCGUAGAUAUCUGGAGGAACAUCGGUGGCGAAGGCGGCAUCCUGGACCGGUAUUGACGCUGAGGCGCGAAAGCCAGGGGAGCAAACGGG
rnacentral:rRNA from 1 species